UACGUAGGGGGCAAGCGUUGUCCGGAUUCAUUGGGCGUAAAGAGCGUGUAGGCGGCCAGAUAGGUCAGCUGUAAAAACUCGGGGCUCAACCCUGAGACGUCGGUUGAAACCAUCUGGCUAGAGUCCGGAAGAGGAGUGUGGAAUUCCCGGUGUAGCGGUGAAAUGCGCAGAUAUCGGGAAGAAUACCCGUGGCGAAGGCGGCACUCUGGGACGGUACUGACGCUGAGACGCGAAAGCGUGGGGAGCGAACAGG
rnacentral:rRNA from 1 species